CAAUACUUGAGCUAGAGUGUCGUACGGGUGCGUAACACGUAUGCAACCUACCUUUUACAGGAGUAUAGCUCCCCGAAAGGGGAAUUAACCCUCCAUAAUAUCAUUGGAUGGCAUCAUUUGAUGAUUAAAACUGAGGUGGUAAAAGAUGGGCAUGCGUCUGAUUAGUUAGUUGGCAGUGUAACGGACUACCAAGACGAUGAUCAGUAGGGGACCUGAGAGGGUGAUCCCCCACACUGGCACUGAGAUACGGGCCAGACUCCUACGGGAGGCAGCAGUAGGGAAUAUUGGACAAUGGGUGAGAGCCUGAUCCAGCCAUGCCGCGUGCAGGAAGAAGGCGUUAUGCGUUGUAAACUGCUUUUGCCAGGGGAUAAAACGGUUCUGCGGAACUAAUUGAAGGUACCUGGUGAAUAAGCCACGGCUAACUACGUGCCAGCAGCCGCGGUAAUACGUAGGUGGCAAGCGUUGUCCGGAUUUAUUGGGUUUAAAGGGUGCGUAGGCGGCCCUGUAAGUCAGUGCUGAAAUAUCCCGGCUUAACCGGGAGGGUGGCAUUGAUACUGCAGGGCUUGAGUACAGAUGAGGUAGGCGGAAUUGACGGUGUAGCGGUGAAAUGCAUAGAUAUCGUCAAGAACACCGAUAGCGAAGGCAGCUUACCAAGCUGUAACUGACGCUGAGGCACGAAAGUGUGGGGAUCAAACAGGAUUAGAUACCCUGGUAGUCCACACUGUAAACGUUGAUGACUCGAUGUUGGCGAUAUACAGCCAGCGUCCAAGAGCAAUCGUUAAGUCAUCCACCUGGGGAGUACGCCGGCAACGGUGAAACUCAAAGGAAUUGAC
rnacentral:rRNA from 1 species